rnacentral:tRNA from 1 species
AUUUGAGUAGUUUAAUUAAAAUGGUGAUUUGUGGAAUCACAGAUGUAUAAAUACCUUAAAUA